rnacentral:rRNA from 1 species
CGAGCGGACAGAUGGGAGCUUGCUCCCUGAUGUUAGCGGCGGACGGGUGAGUAACACGUGGGUAACCUGCCUGUAAGACUGGGAUAACUCCGGGAAACCGGGGCUAAUACCGGAUGCUUGUUUGAACCGCAUGGUUCAAACAUAAAAGGUGGCUUCGGCUACCACUUACAGAUGGACCCGCGGCGCAUUAGCUAGUUGGUGAGGUAAUGGCUCACCAAGGCGACGAUGCGUAGCCGACCUGAGAGGGUGAUCGGCCACACUGGGACUGAGACACGGCCCAGACUCCUACGGGAGGCAGCAGUAGGGAAUCUUCCGCAAUGGACGAAAGUCUGACGGAGCAACGCCGCGUGAGUGAUGAAGGUUUUCGGAUCGUAAAGCUCUGUUGUUAGGGAAGAACAAGUACCGUUCGAAUAGGGCGGUACCUUGACGGUACCUAACCAGAAAGCCACGGCUAAACUACGUGCCAGCAGCCCGCGGUAAAUACGUAGGUGGCAAGCGUUGUCCGGAAUUAUUGGGGCGUAAAGGGCUCGCAGGCGGUUUCUUAAGUCUGAUGUGAAAGCC